CCUACGGGAGGCAGCAGUGAGGAAUAUUGGUCAAUGGCCGGAAGGCUGAACCAGCCAUGCCGCGUGAAGGUCAGUGCCCUAUGGGCGUUAAACUUCUUUUGUGCGGGAGCAAUAAUGAUCACGUUUGGCCAGACUAGAGUACCGUACUAAUAAGCAUCGGCUAACUCCGUGCCAGCAGCCGCGGUAAUACGGGGGAUGCAAGCGUUAUCCGGAUUUAUUGGGCGUAAAGCGCUCGUAGGCGGUAUGUCAAGUCAAGGGUGAAAUCCCCGCGCUCAACGUGGGAACUGCCUUUGAAACUGGCAAACUGGAGUGUGGGAGAGGAUAGUGGAAUUCCAGGUGUAGGAGUGAAAUCCGUAGAUAUCUGGAGGAACAUCAGUGGCGAAGGCGACUAGCUGGAACAUAACUGACGCUGAGGAGCGAAAGCGUGGGUAGCAAACAGGAUUAGAUACCCGUGUAGUC
rnacentral:rRNA from 1 species